AUGUUUUCCCAUAACAAAGAACUAUAAUCAAAAGCCACAAAGAACUAUAAAAACACAGCAUAAAUAAAAAUAUAAAUACCGAUGUACUUUACGUUGAUAC